UAAUAAGCACUUUUUGCUAUUAUAAAUAUACUUUAAAAUGUUGAAUAUUAAAUGUGUGAUAUAAGGGGUUAUAGAUACUAUUUCCAGAAUCUCAGUUUUUCACUGUCUCAGCCUGCCAUGUCAUCUGCAAGCCUUGGAUGUUGUAAAGUAAUGAAAAUACCUGGUAAAGCAUGAUCACAUCAUCCAU